rnacentral:rRNA from 1 species
CCUACGGGUGGCAGCAGUGGGGAAUAUUGCACAAUGGGGGGAACCCUGAUGCAGCAAUGCCGCGUGGGUGAAGAAGCACUUCGGUGCGUAAAGCCCUGUCAGCAGGGAAGAAAAUGACAGUACCUGGACAAGAAGCCCCGGCUAACUACGUGCCAGCAGCCGCGGUAAUACGUAGGGGGCAAGCGUUAUCCGGAUUUACUGGGUGUAAAGGGAGCGCAGGCGGCGUGGCAAGUCAGAUGUGAAAGCCCGGGGCCCAACCCCGGGAGUGCAUUUGAAACUGCAAUGCUGGAGUUCCGGAGAGGUAAGCGGAAUUCCUUGGGUAGCGGUGAAAUGCGUAGAUAUAAGGAAGAACACCAGUGGCGAAGGCGGAUUACUGGACGAUAACUGACGGUGAGGCGCGAAAGCGUGGGGAGCAAACAGGAUUAGAUACCCCAGUAGUC